rnacentral:rRNA from 1 species
UACGAAGGGGGCUAGCGUUGUUCGGAAUUACUGGGCGUAAAGCGCGCGUAGGCGGUGAUCUUUGUCAGAGGUGAAAUCCCGAGGCUCAACCCCAGAACUGCCUUUGAUACUGAGGAGCUUGAGUCCGGGAGAGGUGAGUGGAACUGCGAGUGUAGAGGUGAAAUUCGUAGAUAUUCGCAAGAACACCAGUGGCGAAGGCGGCUCACUGGCCCGGUACUGACGCUGAGGUGCGAAAGCGUGGGGAGCAAACAGG